rnacentral:rRNA from 1 species
UGGGGAAUUUUGGACAAUGGGGGCAACCCUGAUCCAGCAAUGCCGCGUGAGUGAAGAAGGCCUUCGGGUUGUAAAGCUCUUUUGUCAGGGAAGAAACGGUGAGGGCUAAUAUCCUUUGCUAAUGACGGUACCUGAAGAAUAAGCACCGGCUAACUACGUGCCAGCAGCCGCGGUAAUACGUAGGGUGCAAGCGUUAAUCGGAAUUACUGGGCGUAAAGCGUGCGCAGGCGGUUAUGUAAGUCAGAUGUGAAAUCCCCGGGCUCAACCUGGGAAUGGCAUUUGAGACUGCAUGGCUAGAGUGUGUCAGAGGGGGGUAGAAUUCCACGUGUAGCAGUGAAAUGCGUAGAGAUGUGGAGGAAUACCGAUGGCGAAGGCAGCCCCCUGGGAUAACACUGACGCACAUGCACGAAAGCGUGGGGAGCAAACAGG